GAUGAACGCUGGCGGCGUGCUUAACACAUGCAAGUCGAACGAAGCACUUUAUUUGAUUUCCUUCGGGACUGAUUAUUUUGUGACUGAGUGGCGGACGGGUGAGUAACGCGUGGGUAACCUGCCUUGUACAGGGGGAUAACAGUUGGAAACGGCUGCUAAUACCGCAUAAGCGCUCAGCAUCGCAUGAUGCAGUGUGAAAAACUCCGGUGGUAUAAGAUGGACCCGCGUUGGAUUAGCUAGUUGGUGAGGUAACGGCCCACCAAGGCGACGAUCCAUAGCCGACCUGAGAGGGUGACCGGCCACAUUGGGACUGAGACACGGCCCAAACUCCUACGGGAGGCAGCAGUGGGGAAUAUUGCACAAUGGGCGAAAGCCUGAUGCAGCGACGCCGCGUGAGCGAAGAAGUAUUUCGGUAUGUAAAGCUCUAUCAGCAGGGAAGAUAAUGACGGUACCUGACUAAGAAGCACCGGCUAAAUACGUG
rnacentral:rRNA from 1 species